rnacentral:rRNA from 1 species
UAGGCAGGUACAGAGGGAUGCUACCGGGCGACCGGAUGCGGAUCUCGAAAGCCUGUCCCAGUUCGGACUGGAGUCUGCAACCCGACUCCACGAAGUUGGAUUCGCUAGUAAUCGCGCAUCAGCCAUGGCGCGGUGAAUACGUUCCCGGGCCUUGUACACACCGCCCGUCAAGCCAUGGAAGCCGGGGGUGCCUGAAGUGUGCAGCCGCAAGGAGCGCCCUAAGGUAAAACCGGUGACUGGGGCUAAGUCGUAACAAGGUACC